rnacentral:rRNA from 1 species
GACGAACGCUGGCGGCGCGCUUAACACAUGCAAGUCGAGCGAGAACCUUGGACUUCGGUCCUUGGGGACAGCGGCGAACGGGUGCGUAACACGUGGGUAAUCUGCCCUCGGCACCGGGAUAGCCCGGGGAAACCCGGAUUAAUACCGGAUGGCCUUUCGAGCUCACGAGCUCGAAAGAAAAGGUAGCUUCGGCCUCCGGCCGAGGAUGAGCCCGCGGCGGAUUAGCUUGUUGGUGGGGUAAUGGCUCACCAAGGCAACGAUCCGUAGCUGGUCUGAGAGGACGAUCAGCCUCACUGGGACUGAGACACGGCCCAGACUCCUACGGGAGGCAGCAGUGGGGAAUCUUGCGCAAUGGGCGAAAGCCUGACGCAGCGACGCCGCGUGGGGGAAGAAGGCCUUCGGGUUGUAAACUCCUUUAGUACGGGAAGAAGCCUUCGGGUGACGGUACCGUAAGAAUAAGCCACGGCUAACUCUGUG